AGCCAAAGCUCUGUUUUUAUAAAUCAAUAAUAAUGUGUCCCUCUUACAAAGCCAAGAGAUGACUAUAUAUAGCUAAUGUAAAGUCCUAAGUCUUUAGGGUUUAAGACCUAACAUAAAAAGGAAAACUAACGUUUAUCUUAAGGUUAAAACGGAAAAGGAAAAGAAAGCCAAAACCGAAAAGGAAAGUAAGAUCCACGCUGCAUCAGGUCACCCGGGGUGAGGAAAGAUCCGACCUCGGAUCUUCAGGGUCGUCUUGAGCAACAAAUGGGAUGAGAUGUUUAACGUUAAAAACGUCAGAGAACCUUGCGUCCGGGGGCAAUAGAAGACGAUAAGCAUUAGCAUUAAUCUUCUCGACUACUUCCAAAGGACCUAUCUUCCGUGAUUUCAACUUGUUAUACUCUCCAGCCGCAAAACGCUCACGCGUGAGGACUGCCCACACACGAUCUCCAACCUUGAACUGCACAUCUCGUUUAUGGCGAUCAGCACUGGCUUUAUAUUUUGCCGAAGAGAGCUGUAGAUUUUCGUGGACUUGAGCAUGUAUAGACGAUACAGUAGCCACAAAAUCCAAAGCUUGACCAUGAUCCCGGGACAUAUCCGGAGCCACGCCUAGAGCCAGGGGACCACGCGGAAUGACACCAUAUACGACGCGGAAAGGACUGAAACGUGUACUCUUGUUGAUAGCAUGGUUGUGCGCGAAUUCGACCUGGCAUAAGACUGAAUCCCAAGUCCUUAUGUUGUCGACGACCAGACAACGAAGCAUAUCUCCCAACGUUCGGUUAGUGACCUCUGUCUGACCAUCAGAUUGUGGGUGAUAGGCAGAGCUCAUAUCAAGGCUUGUACGAAGAAGUCGCCAAAGGGAACGCCAAAAAUGACUUAGAAACCGAGAGUCCCUGUCCGACACAAUUGACAAUGGCAAACCAUGAAGUCGAUAGAUCUCUCGGAAGAAGAGCCCAGCCACUUGCACUGCAUCAGUAGUCUUUUUACAAGGAAUAAAAUGAGCCAUCUUUGAAAAACGAUCAACCACCACAAAGAUAGAAUCAUGACCACGUUGAGUGCGAGGAAGACCCAAAACGAAAUCCAUACUAACAUCAGUCCACGGCUGAGUUGGGAUAGGAAGUGGUAAGUAUAGACCAGAGUUAGAUGCAUGACCUUUAGAUCGCUGACAAAUAACACAACGAGCCACAAAGCGAUAGACGUCCCUGCGUAGCGACGGCCAAAAAUAUGCAUCAACAACCAACUGUAGUGUUCGAUCCCGACCGACGUGCCCUUCCUCAUGCAACUCCUUGAUGAUCUUAAGUCGUAAACUGCUCUCCGGAAUGCACAAACAAUUUCCCCUAAACAGAAAGCCAUCUUGUAAAACAUACUCGGAGUGAAUACCAUCUUGUAAAGUCAACCAAAUAGGACCAAAAUAUGGGUCCGAUGCAUACAAAUCCGGCAAGAUAGCAAAGCCCGGCACCGAAACCUGUAACGUUGCCACCAAGGAAUGCCUGCGGCUUAACGCGUCCGCGACCUUAUUGGACUUGCCCGCCAUGUGUUUUAUCACAAACGUGAAUUGCUGAAGGAACGCUAUCCAUGAGGCAUGACGUGAAGAAAUUUUAUCUUGACUCCCCAAGUGCUUGAGGGCAUCAUGAUCAGUAUAAAGAAUGAAUUCUUGAUGGAAAAGAUAAUGUCUCCAAUGCUUAAUGGCCUGGACAAUAGCAUAAAAUUCCACGUCGUAUGUACUAUAACGAGCGCGGGAGCCUGCUAUCUUCUCGCUAAAGAAAGCAAUGGGGCGUCCUAACUGGCUAAGGACUGCACCAAUCCCGAACUUGCACGCAUCACAGUGUAGUUCGAACACUUGAGUGAAGUCUGGCAAGGCCAAUAUCUGAGCAGAGACAAGUCGUUGCUUAAGAUCCUCAAAGGCUUUAUUAGCCUCUGUCGUCCAAACAAACGAAGAGCCUUUCAUACAAUCCGUAAGAGGCGCUGCAAUAUUGCUAAAGUGGUGUACGAAUCGUCUAUAGAAUGAAACGAGACCGUGAAAACUUCUUAUCUCCGUGAUAGAACGAGGCGUAGGCCAAGAUUGAAUAGCUUCCACCUUGGUAGGGUCGACUUGUAAACCUUUGUCGGAAACGAUAUAGCCCAAGAAGAGUACGUGAUCCACCCCAAAAACACAUUUGUGAACCGCGGCAUAGAGCUUCUCACGUCGUAGAACUUCGAGGACGCUUCGUAAGUGCGAUAAGUGGCUUGACAAAUCUUUGCUAAAGAUCAAGAUGUCGUCAAAGUAAACGACCACAUACUUGCCAAUGAAAGGGCGAAGCGCCUGAUUCAUGACUCUCAUAAACGUGCUUGGUGCAUUAGAGAGUCCAAAAGGCAUGACUGUCCACUCAAAAAGACCCUCCCGCGUUUUGAAAGCGGUCUUCCAUUCAUCACCUGGACGUAUACGAAUCUGAUGAUAGCCACUCUUUAAGUCUAGUUUAGUGAACAUUGUGGCCUGCCCGAUCUGAUCAAGUAGAUCAUCUAACCGAGGAAUCGGAAAUCUAUAACGAACUGUGAUUUUGUUGAUUGCACGACUAUCAACACACAUUCUCCACGAUCCAUCUUUCUUGGGAAUGAGCAAGGCGGGUACAGCAGCAGGGCUGAGACUUUCACGAACAUGGCCCUUCUGAAGGAGUUCUUCAACUUGACGGCGGAGCUCGUCAUGUUCUUGUGGGCUCAUUCGAUAAUGAGGUCUGUUGGGAAGAACUGCAUUAGGGACCAAAUCAAUAUGAUGCUGGAUAUCCCUUAAUGGUGGUAAAUCGCUUGGAAGCUCAGCUGGAAAGACGUCGCUGAAUUCCUGGAGCAACGGGACGAACGAGUCAGAUGUCUUGCUAGCUACCGGUGGUGUUGUUGGUGUAGCGACUAGAGCCCAAAGAAUAUCCACGUCAUGCAACUGCUUCUCGAAGUCGUUUUUGGGAAGAGUCAAAAGUGAUUUUGCUGAAGGUGAAACAACUUUGUUUGCAGCAUCCGUAGUACAAGGGUUUGCUUCAGGCUGUUCCUUAGACGGAACAAGAGUAACCGUGCGGUUAUCAAAAACGAAACUGUAAGUAUUAGCCUUACCACGAUGAAUUGCGUCACGAUCAUAUUGCCAAGGUCGUCCUAAUAACAAGUGACAAGCAUCCAUGGGAAUAACAUCGCAAGUCACCGAGUCUUUGUAAUUGCCGAUGGAAAAAGAGACUUGAACUUGCUUUGAGACGUUAAUCUCGGUACCGUUGUUAAGCCAGGCAAGCGGGUAAGGAGAAGGGUGGGGUGUAACGGUGAGACCAAGUUUCUGAGAUGCCGCAUAAGACAUAACAUUAGUGCAGCUUCCCGAAUCUAUGAUGAGUUUGCAGAUUCGACCGUUGAUGGUGCAGGUCGAACGAAACAAGUUCGUGCGAAGCCAUGAUUCUUGUGACGCUUUAGGUAGUAGGCAGUUCCUGCGGAGGACGAGGUUGAGACCUGUGUCGCCUUGAAUAAUCUCAGGGUCAUCAUCGUCCGUAGCAUCAUAAUCAUCAUAACGGGGUUCGGCUUCCUCUGUUUCUUGGAUAAUCAAACCGCGUUUUGCCUUUUGAGGACAAGCAGUCUGAAUGUGGCCGCGUUCUCCACAUGUGUAACAACGUAGAGCGUUGGUACGAGGUGGUCUGGAUGAAGCAAUAGUGUCAGUGUUGAGGCCUGUUUUGCUCGUAUCGGACCGCUGUGUUGCUCCUUCCGUAGCAGGUGUUGUAUUCUCGGUUGCAGGGGUAGUUUGGGGGCGGGAACGUGACGAGGACGACCAAGACGAUCGCUGCUGUAACUCCAUAGAGAGUGAGCGUUGAUAAGCCUCGGAAACUGUCACUGGAUUGAACUGUGCCAAAGCAAGCUGGAGUUGAGAACGUAAUCCUCCGAUGAAACGUGAGAUUAGUUGUUUCUCAGUUUCGCCUGCAGUCAUCCGUGCUGUCAUAUAGAAGAACUCAGUUGCAUAUUCUUCAACAGUACGCGAACCCUGACGCAGAGUUUGCAAUUUGUUAUAGAGCGUACGCUCGUAAUUGUAGGGUAGGAAGGCGCGACGCAUGUGUUUGGUCAAUCCAUUCCAUGAAUUAAUGCGUGGUUUAUUGUCUUGACGACGAGACUCUUUGAGCUGUUGCCACCAAGCCAUAGCCCUUCCUUUGAAGCGGGUAACGACAAGAGGAACUCGCAUAUCAUCGGGCACUUGUCGAAACUCAAGUAUCUCUUCUGCCGUGUUUAACCAAUCGAUGAAAUCCUCAGGAUUUAACGUUCCCAGAAACUCAGGAAUCUCUGAACGGAAACUAGUUUCCCAUCGAGGUUGAUUAACUCGCUGGUCCUGGUCUUCACGCCGGUAUUGAGGUGGUCGCUGAGCAUCGCGUCGUUGAUAUUGGUCGUCUCGGUGGUCAGCAAAAACAUUGUCGACGAGCUCUUCAUCGUCUGAUGCGUCAAGGUGAGCACCGCGAUGGCGAGGCCGCAGACCCUGCUGAUUAUCUGGAGCAUCGCGUUGAGCGCGUUGAUCCUGAAGAACGGUGGUGAGGGCGUUUUGGACAGCUGUUUGUAAUGCUCCCGUAAGGUUUGUGGUUAAUGCUUCGAACAUAAGGCGUACUUCCUCCUGUUGUUCUUCCGUGAUAGUCUUGCGUGGUGCCAUGAUCGAUUUGUUUGAUUAAGAAAUCAAACGCCUGGAUUCUGAUACCAACUGAUAGAGUAACCGAUAGAAUAGGAACGAUUGUUUAGUCUGAGAAUCCCCAAAAGUACCUAUGAACUUGAAUCCGUUGAGUUCAACCAAUGAACUAGCCGUAAUCAAGAGUUUAAAGCCAAAGCUCUGUUUUUAUAAAUCAAUAAUAAUGUGUCCCUCUUACAAAGCCAAGAGAUGACUAUAUAUAGCUAAUGUAAAGUCCUAAGUCUUUAGGGUUUAAGACCUAACAUAAAAAGGAAAACUAACGUUUAUCUUAAGGUUAAAACGGAAAAGGAAAAGAAAGCCAAAACCGAAAAGGAAAGUAAGAUCCACGCUGCAUCA
rnacentral:lncRNA from 1 species